AACGAACGCUGGCGGCAUGCCUAACACAUGCAAGUCGAACGAGACCUUCGGGUCUAGUGGCGCACGGGUGCGUAACGCGUGGGAACCUGCCCUUAGGUUCGGAAUAACUCCCCGAAAGGGGUGCUAAUACCGGAUAAUGUCUUCGGACCAAAGAUUUAUCGCCUUUGGAUGGGCCCGCGUUGGAUUAGCUAGUUGGUAGGGUAAAGGCCUACCAAGGCGACGAUCCAUAGCUGGUCUGAGAGGAUGAUCAGCCACACUGGGACUGAGACACGGCCCAGACUCCUACGGGAGGGAGCAGAGGGGAAUAUUGGAAAAUGGGCGAAAGCCUGAUCAAGCAAUGACGCGUGAGUGAUGAAGGCCUUAGGGUUGUAAAGCUCUUUUAACCGGGAUGAUAAUGACAGUACCGGGAGAAUAAGCUCCGGCUAACUACGUG
rnacentral:rRNA from 1 species